ACAAGCGGUGGAGUAUGUGGUUAAUUCGAUGCAACGCGAAGAACCUUACCUGGUCUUGACAUCCCGGAGACCCUUAGGAAACUAGGGGUGCUUCCAUCUGGAAGAAUCUGGAGACAGGUGCUGCAUGGCUGUCGUCAGCUCGUGUCGUGAGAUGUUGGGUUAAGUCCCGCAACGAGCGCAACCCUUGCCUUUAGUUGCCAGCAGUUCGGCUGGGCACUCUAAAGGGACUGCCGGUGUUAAACCGGAGGAAGGUGGGGAUGACGUCAAGUCCUCAUGGCCUUUAUGACCAGGGCUACACACGUACUACAAUGGCCGAUACAAAGGGCAGCGACACUGCGAGGUGAAGCCAAUCCCGUAAAAUCGGUCUCAGUCCGGAUUGGAGUCUGCAACUCGACUCCAUGAAGUUGGAAUCGCUAGUAAUCGUGAAUCAGAAUGUCACGGUGAAUACGUUCCCGGGCCUU
rnacentral:rRNA from 1 species